rnacentral:lncRNA from 1 species
UAGGAAUGUUAUAAAUAUAUAAAGCUGCAUAGGAAUGUUAUAAAUAUAUAAAGCUGCAUAAGAAUGUUAUAAAAAAUAUAAAGCUGCAUAGAAAUAUAAUAUAAUGUAUAAAGCUGCAUGAGAGUAUUAUUCAAGUAUAAAAAGCUGCAAAGGAGUAUUGAACAAAAGUCUUAUAACUUAUAAGUACAGGGUGAUACAUUUUAUAGAUUUAUAUUUAAGUUUAUCAAAGUCUCAACACGUACAACAACCAACAUAUACAAAUAAAAACAAAUAUAAUCUAUAAACAUAUAACACAUGAUAAAGAGCAAUUAAUGAAAUAAAAUAAUGAUUCACUCUGUUAAAUGUUAUUGCACAUUUUGACAACAUAUCAUAAAAUAGUACUACUGAUUAUUACUUUGUGUAAUAAGAAUAAUAGAAAAAAAAUAAGAAAGGGAAACUCUAAAUGAUACUGUGGACUUAAAU